CACGUAGGGCGCAAGCGUUGUCCGGAAUUAUUGGGCGUAAAGAGCUCGUAGGUGGUUUGUUACGUCUGCUGUGAAAACCUAGGGCUUAACCCUGGGCUUGCAGUGGAUACGGGCAGACUAGAGGUAGGUAGGGGAGAAUGGAACUCCUGGUGUAGCGGUGAAAUGCGCAGAUAUCAGGAGGAACACCGGUGGCGAAGGCGGUUCUCUGGGCCAACAUUGACGCUGAGACCCGAAAGCGUGGGGAUCAAACAGG
rnacentral:rRNA from 1 species